CGCAUCUGUGCAUGCAGCAUAUCAAUAAGCGGAGGAAAAGAAACUAACAAGGAUUCCCCUAGUAACGGCGAGUGAAGCGGGAAGAGCUCAAAUUUGAAAUCUUAAAGGGUUUCCCUUUACGAAUUGUAGUUUAAAGAAGUGUCUUCUGUUGAGGUUUUGGUAAAAGUUCUUUGGAAUAGGACAUCAUAGAGGGUGAGAAUCCCGUAUUUGACCUUUACUUUCAACUUUGUGAUACACUUUCAAAGAGUCGGAUUGUUUGGGAAUGCAGUCCAAAAUGGGUGGUAAAUUUCAUCUAAAGCUAAAUAUUGGCGAGAGACCGAUAGCGAACAAGUACCGUGAGGGAAAGAUGGAAAGAACUUUGAAAAGAGAGUUAAACAGUACGUGAAAUUGUCAAAAGGGAAGCGUUUGACACCAGUGUUGUUUUUCUGAAAAUCAAUUAAAGAACUGUUUAUGCUAAGCUGUUUAGACUUUAUCAGCUAUACUGUUUAGUUUUGAGCUUUUCUUUAACGCACUUUUCAGUUAACAAGUCAACAUCAAUUUCUUUUGCUGUAAAAAAGCUUGAGGAAGGUGGCUUGAGAUUCGUCUUAAGUGUUUAUAGCCUCUUGCCUAUGCAGUCGGAGAGAUUGAGGUCUGCAGCGUAGAUCCUUCGGGGCUAAAUGCAUUUGUGCUAAGUUAUAGCAUUUUAUAGACAACUUGUUGACUAUGAUUUGUCUUGUAGCUUACUCGCUUAUGUUAUUUUACCUACGCUUAGGAUGUUGAGUCGUAGAGCACGCAG
rnacentral:rRNA from 1 species